UUUUAUUCAUUUUAAAAGACAUGUUCUUUGUAUAUAGUGCGAUCAACGCUAUAGUAGAGUGAUCUUGUGGUGACAUAGGAGUUUCAUAAGUGUGUACUCACAGUCUGUAGAAUGCUGUACCGGUAUUUAGGACAAGUUUUAUUGCAUCUUAGAAGUGGUCUUGUUUACAUUAACUGUUAAAAUGUGUUAUACUAAUAUUUGCAUUAUGCAUAUACAUUAUUGUACAUAUACCUUCAGGGUGGGUGAAGACUAUUCUCAACAACGGCUCUAACGAUUUUUUAAUAGAAAUUUUACAAUUGAUGUAUAUCGUUUGGAAAAAAAUGACUAGCCCUAUGGCCACA